rnacentral:rRNA from 1 species
GAUGAACGCUAGCGGCAGGCUUAAUACAUGCAAGUCGAGGGGCAGCAUGUCCCGCAGCAAUGCGGGAUGAUGGCGACCGGCAAACGGGUGCGGAACACGUACACAACCUUCCUUUAAGCGGGGAAUAGCCCGGGGAAACCCGGGUUAAUACCCCAUAGUAUAUUGAAAAGGCAUCUUUUUAAUAUUAAAGAUUUAUCACUUAAAGAUGGGCGUGCGACUGAUUAGGUAGUUGGCGGGGUAACGGCCCACCAAGCCUGCGAUCAGUAACUGGUGUGAGAGCACGACCAGUCACACGGGCACUGAGACACGGGCCCGACUCCUACGGGAGGCAGCAGUAAGGAAUAUUGGUCAAUGGACGCAAGUCUGAACCAGCCAUGCCGCGUGGAGGAUGAAGGUCCUCUGGAUUGUAAACUUCUUUUAUCUGGGAAGAAACCCAUAUUUUCUAGUGUGGUUGACGGUACCAGAUGAAUAAGCACCGGCUAACUCCGUGCCAGCCGCCGCCGUAACAC